rnacentral:rRNA from 1 species
UACGUAGGGUGCAAGCGUUGUCCGGAAUUAUUGGGCGUAAAGGGUGCGUAGGCGGUUUGAUAAGUCAUCUGUGAAAUCUCUGGGCUCAACCCAGAGUCUGCAGGCGAAACUGUCGGGCUUGAGUAUGGGAGAGGUGAGUGGAAUUUCCGGUGUAGCGGUGAAAUGCGUAGAUAUCGGAAGGAACACCUGUGGCGAAAGCGGCUCACUGGACCAUAACUGACGCUGAUGCACGAAAGCUAGGGGAGCAAACAGG